CGGACGGGUGAGUAAUGUCUGGGAAACUGCCCGAUGGAGGGGGAUAACUACUGGAAACGGUAGCUAAUACCGCAUAACGUCGCAAGACCAAGAGGGGGACCUUCGGGCCUCUUGCCAUCGGAUGUGCCCAGAUGGGAUUAGCUAGUAGGUGGGGUAACGGCUCACCUAGGCGACGAUCCCUAGCUGGUCUGAGAGGAUGACCAGCCACACUGGAACUGAGACACGGUCCAG
rnacentral:rRNA from 1 species